rnacentral:rRNA from 1 species
UACGAAGGGGGCUAGCGUUGCUCGGAAUCACUGGGCGUAAAGCGCACGUAGGCGGCUUAUUAAGUCAGGGGUGAAAUCCUGGAGCUCAACUCCAGAACUGCCUUUGAUACUGAUGAGCUUGAGUUCGGGAGAGGUGAGUGGAACUGCGAGUGUAGAGGUGAAAUUCGUAGAUAUUCGCAGGAACACCAGUGGCGAAGGCGGCUCACUGGUCCGAUACUGACGCUGAGGUGCGAAAGCGUGGGGAGCAAACAGG